CCUACGGGUGGCAGCAGUGGGGAAUAUUGCGCAAUGGGCGAAAGCCUGACGCAGCGACGCCGCGUGAGGGAUGAAGGUCUUCUGAUCGGAAACCUCUGUCUGCAGGGAAGAACGGUCACUGUGCUAAUCAGCAGUGAAUUGACGGUACCUGCAAAGGAAGCACCGGCUAACUCCGUGUCAGCAGCCGCGGUAAUACGGAGGGUGCGAGCGUUAAUCGGAAUUACUGGGCGUAAAGCGCUCGUAGGCGGUAUGUCAAGUCAAGGGUGAAAUCCCCGCGCUCAACGGGGGAACUGCCGUUGAAACUGGCAGACUGGAGUGUGGGAGAGGAGAGCGGAAUUCCAGGUGUAGGAGUGAAAUCCGUAGAUAUCUGGAGGAACAUCAGUGGCGAAGGCGACUAACUGGAACAUAACUGACGCUGAGGAGCGAAAGCGUGGGUAGCAAACAGGAUUAGAUACCCCAGUAGUC
rnacentral:rRNA from 1 species